rnacentral:rRNA from 1 species
GACGUAGGGUGCAAGCGUUGUCCGGAUUUAUUGGGCGUAAAGAGCUCGUAGGCGGCUUGUUGCGUCGACUGUGAAAACCCGCGGCUUAACCGCGGGCUUGCAGUUGAUACGGGCAGGCUAGAGUUCGGUAGGGGAGACUGGAAUUCCUGGUGUAGCGGUGAAAAUGCGCAGAUAUCAGGAGGAACACCGGUGGCGAAGGCGGGUCUCUGGGCCGAUACUGACGCUGAGGAGCGAAAAGCGUGGGGGAGCGAACAGG